rnacentral:rRNA from 1 species
UACAGAGGUCUCGAGCGUUAGGCGGAAUCACUGGGCUUAAAGCGUGUGUAGGUGGAUGCCUAAGUACCUUGUGAAAUCCCACAGCUUAACUGUGGAACUGCUUGGUAUACUGGGUGUCUUGAGUCACUCAGGGGCGAGCGGAACAAAUGGUGGAGCGGUGAAAUGCGUAGAUAUCAUUUGGCACGCCAAUGGUGAAAACAGCUCGCUGGGGGUGUACUGACACUGAGACACGAAAGCCAGGGGAGCGAACGGG